UACGUAGGGGGGCAAGCGUUGUCCGGAUUUAUUGGGCGUAAAGAGCGUGUAGGCGGCCAGGUAGGUCUGCUGUGAAAACUCGAGGCUUAACCUCGAGCUGUCGGCGGAAACCAUCUGGCUAGAGUCCGGAAGAGGAGAAUGGAAUUCCCGGUGUAGCGGUGAAAUGCGCAGAUAUCGGGAAGAACACCCGUGGCGAAGGCGGUUCUCUGGGACGGUACUGACGCUGAGACGCGAAAGCGUGGGGAGCGAACAGGAUU
rnacentral:rRNA from 1 species